rnacentral:rRNA from 1 species
UGGCCGCUUGCGAGGUGCUGCAUGGUUGUCGUCAGCUCGUGCCGUGAGGUGUCGGGUUAAGUCCCAUAACGAGCGCAACCCCUACUGCUAGUUGCCAGCGGGUCAUGCCGGGGACUCUAGCGGAACUGCCAGCGUAAGCUGCGAGGAAGGUGGGGAUGACGUCAAAUCAGCACGGCCCUUACGUCCAGGGCGACACACGUGCUACAAUGGCCGGCACAACGGGAAGCGAAGGGGCGACCCUGAGCGGAUCCCCAUAAAAGCCGGUCCCAGUUCGGAUUGCAGUCUGCAACUCGACUGCAUGAAGUUGGAAUCGCUAGUAAUCGUGGAUCAGCCAAGCCGCGGUGAAUACGUUCCCGGGCCUU